rnacentral:lncRNA from 1 species
UCGUUGGUAAAGCUCCUAUUUGCUUUCUCUGAAUCUGUAUCAGUUCAUGCAGUUCUGCCAAGUGGGGAAGCUUUGCAGGACACUGCCACUGUAGCACUUGAAAUAUUAAGAUGAACAGAACAAGCAAAAGGUGGGAAAACUGGAAAGAUUGAAUGUCCUUUGGAGUUCACAGAGGUUUGGCAGUGGGAGGAGAAAAACAAAACGAAGCAUAGUGGGAGUGUUGAACAGACUUUCCCAAGAUCCCCAGGGAAAUCAACAAAGAGUAUUGCUUCCUUGCAAAUUGGCAGGAAGGUUUCCAGCAUAAUAAAAGAGUGCAGAAAAAACAAGUUAAUUCAAGGAUAAAACUGUGAAUAAGUAGAAGAGAAGACUACACCAGGAAAAGAGACGGAGGUAGAGGCCCAAUGGAGUAAGUAAUUUUAGAAGAAAUUUAAUAUUGGAAGAAUAGAUGUUUUCCAGAAC